UUUAUGGAGAGUUUGAUCCUGGCUCAGGAUGAACGCUGGCGGCGUGCCUAAUACAUGCAAGUCGAGCGAACGGACGAGAAGCUUGCUUCUCUGAUGUUAGCGGCGGACGGGUGAGUAACACGUGGAUAACCUACCUAUAAGACUGGGAUAACUUCGGGAAACCGGAGCUAAUACCGGAUAAUAUUUUGAACCGCAUGGUUCAAAAGUGAAAGACGGUCUUGCUGUCACUUAUAGAUGGAUCCGCGCUGCAUUAGCUAGUUGGUAAGGUAACGGCUUACCAAGGCAACGAUGCAUAGCCGACCUGAGAGGGUGAUCGGCCACACUGGAACUGAGACACGGUCCAGACUCCUACGGGAGGCAGCAGUAGGGAAUCUUCCGCAAUGGGCGAAAGCCUGACGGAGCAACGCCGCGUGAGUGAUGAAGGUCUUCGGAUCGUAAAACUCUGUUAUUAGGGAAGAACAUAUGUGUAAGUAACUGUGCACAUCUUGACGGUACCUAAUCAGAAAGCCACGGCUAACUACGUGCCAGCAGCCGCGGUAAUACGUAGGUGGCAAGCGUUAUCCGGAAUUAUUGGGCGUAAAGCGCGCGUAGGCGGUUUUUUAAGUCUGAUGUGAAAGCCCACGGCUCAACCGUGGAGGGUCAUUGGAAACUGGAAAACUUGAGUGCAGAAGAGGAAAGUGGAAUUCCAUGUGUAGCGGUGAAAUGCGCAGAGAUAUGGAGGAACACCAGUGGCGAAGGCGACUUUCUGGUCUGUAACUGACGCUGAUGU
rnacentral:rRNA from 1 species